rnacentral:rRNA from 1 species
GACGAACGCUGGCGGCGUGCUUAACACAUGCAAGUCGAACGCUGAAGCUCAGCUUUUGUUGGGUGGAUGAGUGGCGAACGGGUGAGUAACACGUGAGUAACCUACCCCCUUCUUUGGGAUAACGCCCGGAAACGGGUGCUAAUACUGGAUAUUCACUGGUCUUCGCAUGGGGGUUGGUGGAAAGGGUUUUUCUGGUGGGGGAUGGGCUCGCGGCCUAUCAGCUUGUUGGUGGGGUGAUGGCCUACCAAGGCUUUGACGGGUAGCCGGCCUGAGAGGGUGACCGGUCACAUUGGGACUGAGAUACGGCCCAGACUCCUACGGGAGGCAGCAGUGGGGAAUAUUGCACAAUGGGCGCAAGCCUGAUGCAGCGACGCCGCGUGAGGGAUGGAGGCCUUCGGGUUGUGAACCUCUUUCGCUCAUGGUCAAGCCGCAACAAUGGUUGUGGUGAGGGUAGUGGGUAAAGAAGCGCCGGCUAACUACGUG